UAUGUGAUCGUCUCUCGCAUAUCAAUAAGCGGAGGAAAAGAAACUAACAAGGAUUCCCCUAGUAACGGCGAGUGAAGCGGGAAGAGCUCAAAUUUGAAAUCUUAAAGGGUUUCCCUUUACGAAUUGUAGUUUAAAGAAGUGUUUUCUGUUGAGGUUUUGGUAAAAGUUCUUUGGAAUAGGACAUCAUAGAGGGUGAGAAUCCCGUAUUUGACCUUUACUUUCAACUUUGUGAUACACUUUCAAAGAGUCGGAUUGUUUGGGAAUGCAGUCCAAAAUGGGUGGUAAAUUUCAUCUAAAGCUAAAUAUUGGCGAGAGACCGAUAGCGAACAAGUACCGUGAGGGAAAGAUGAAAAGAACUUUGAAAAGAGAGUUAAACAGUACGUGAAAUUGUCAAAAGGGAAGCGUUUGACACCAGUGUUGUUUUUCUGAAAAUCAAUUAAAGAACUGUUUAUGCUAAGCUGUUUAGACUUUAUCAGCUAUCUGUUUAGUUUUGAGCUUUUCUUUAAUGCACUUUUCAGUUAACAAGUCAACAUCAAUUUCUUUUGCUGCUAAAAAAGCUUGAGGAAGGUGGCUUGAGAUUCGUCUUAAGUGUUUAUAGCCUCUUGCCUAUGCAGUCGGAGAGAUUGAGGUCUGCAGCGUAGAUCCUUCGGGGCUAAAUGCAUUUGUGCUAAGUUAUAGCAUUUUAUAGACAACUUGUUGACUAUGAUUUGUCUUGUAGCUUACUCGCUUAUGUUAUUUUACCUACGCUUAGGAUGUUGAAGAUAUGCGCGACACG
rnacentral:rRNA from 1 species